CCAAAGAUAGGCUGAAGUUUUAACUCCUGGUACCUGUAAAUAUGGCCUUAUUUGGAAAUAGGAACUUUGUAGAUGUCAUCAAAUUUAAGAUGAGAUCAUACUAUGUUGGGGGUGGGGCCCUAAAUCCAAUGGCUGUUGCCUUGAUAAAAGAAAAGAUUUAGAUACAGAGACACAAAGGCCAUAUGACAACGGAGGCAGAGACUGUAAUGAUGCAGCUACAAGUCGAGGAGUGCCAAGGAUUGCCAGACACCAGCAGAAGCUAAGAAAAGAGGCACCAUCCACUUGGCUCUGGACGACGCCCUGCCUGGCUGAGCUGCCCUGGGAGCUGUCAACACGGGUGUGCGUGCUGGUAUUCCAGAGGCUGCAUGCUCACCUGUGGGUGCUGUGGGAGCAAGGACAGUCGCACUGGGAGAAAGGUGUUUCCCUUCAACCUCACGAUUCCCCGAGCCUAUGACUGGAUUCCUGGCCUGUGGUUUUCAAACUUCAGAG